rnacentral:rRNA from 1 species
GGACAACCUGCCCUUAGGACGGGGAUAAACCCGGGAAACUGGGUAUAAUACCCGAUAGGUCUCGAUUGCUGGAAUGCAUCGAGAUUUAAAGCUCCGGCGCCUAAGGAUGGGUCUGCGGCCUAUCAGGUAGUAGUGGGUGUAGCGUACCUACUAGCCUACGACGGGUACGGGUUGUGAGAGCAAGAGCCCGGAGAUGGAUUCUGAGACACGAAUCCAGGCCCUACGGGGUGCAGCAGGCGCGAAAACUUUACAAUGCUGGCAACAGCGAUAAGGGAACCUCGAGUGCCAGGUUACAAAUCUGGCUGUCGAGAUGCCUAAAAAGCAUUUCAUAGCAAGGGCCGGGCAAGACCGGUGCCAGCCGCCGCGGUAACACCGGCGGCUCGAGUGGUAACCGUUAUUAUUGGGUCUAAAGGGUCUGUAGCCGGGCCGGAUAAGUCUCUUGAGAAAUCUGGCAGCUUAACUGUCAGGCUUUCAGGAGAUACUGUCUGGCUCGAGNCCGGGAGAGGUGAGAGGUACUUCAGGGGUAGGGGUGAAAUCUUGUAAUCCUUGAAGGACCACCAGUGGCGAAGGCGUCUCACCAGAACGGACCUGACGGCAAGGGACGAAAGCUAGGGGCACGAACCGGAUUAGAUACCCGGGUAGUCCUAGCCGUAAACGAUACUCGYUAGGUGUCGGCCACGGUGCGACCGUUGUCGGUGCCGUAGGGAAGCCGUGAAGCGAGCCACCUGGGAAGUACGGCCGCAAGGCUGAAACUUAA